CUGCCUGGUCUCCCUGGCUGCUCGGUGCCUUUGGAACGUGCAGGGAAACUGAGUCAGGAGGUGGAAAGCUUCACAAAGAGGAAGACAUUAAAAUGAGGAAUCGCUCUACUGUUUGGCAUCAACACUGCUGGGGAGAAAGCCACCAGCAUAUUGGAGUGGAGCGGCCUCAAUCGGACUGAAAGAACCACAAUCGGGGAAACGGAAUAGGAAACAGAGACCAUUUGUCCCUCAAUUUAGUUUUGUGCAAAUUGCAGGGAAGGAGAGGCACAGAGAGAGAGAAUUCUGCAGUGCUCCAAACUGCUUUUGCUACUGUCUCUGAUGCGACCUAUUGGAGAUACAUAACACUCCCCCCAGACCGUCCUAAGACAGUGUUUUUCAACCUUUCUGCAAUUGUGAACCACUAAAGAAAUGUUCAGAAAAUUCAAGGACCAUCCAGUUAAAUAAACACCCUACUACUCUCUAUGUUUUCAUCUUUCAGAGCAUGGGAGUUUGCAUUUCUUUUGAAACUACUACAGUUGCAUUGGUGGACACCUUCCCGUCCCCUCCAUUUUUAAAGACUCUUUUAGCCUAAAUAUUGUAUCAAAAGAAGUCAUCCAAAAUUAUCUGAGGUGCCCCAUGCCAUACCAAAUGUAGGACAAAUGCCUUAGUCAAGAAUGUUCUCUGAAUUUUAAGGGGUGAAGGGCAAGGGGCUCUCCAGCCCAACGAAACCCAAUUUCUAACUGAUGUAACUUGUAUUUGCAUGUUUUUUGGGGCGGGGGAGAGGAGGCAGUUGUUUGUGUGGACCCCCAGUUGGUAAGAAGUCCUGGGUGCUUCAAUGAAUCAGUUUUCAGCCCUGAUCUGUUCCUGCAAGUCAGCUAAUAGUUGGCACACAUGGGGAGGCAGGGUUGAGGGGGCAAGUGAACAUCGGGAGUCUGUGCUGGACAAUCUGGUGGACUUCUCCAGAUUUAGUUAUUUAACAAAUGUAUAUGAUCACCCAUCUAUCUAACGAAAUUCUGGGCGAGAUAUGGACUAAAAAACAUAACCGAACUCUAUAACUCUCAUAUAAAAUAAAACAGGGUCAAGGCCCCUGAAAAACACAUUUGCAGCAUGUCCACAAAAGCACAGCCACAGCAGAGCUCCAUCCACACCCUGGCUCCAGUGCCCAGGGGAAGAAGGACCAGCCUUCACAGCUUUCUGGAAGGCCAACGGAGUUGGGGCUGUCCUUAUCUUGGGGGGAGGUUGUUCCACAAGACAGGCACCAUGACAGAGAAGGCACACUUCCUGGGGCCCACCAAGUGACACUACUUCACCAAUGGAACCUGGAGCAUGCAUCCUCCACCAGAACUCAUGGGAUGGGCAGAAACCAUUGGGGAUAGGCAGUCCUGCAAAUAAUACUUUGCGAUCACCCUCUGAGAUGAACCCGGUCCCAGGAAAGAAAAAAAAUGUUCCUGCUGACAAUGGACAUCCGAGACAGCAUUCCAGCAACAGCCUUAACAGCACAGCUCUCAAUUGCCCUGGCUUCUGGACAGCUGAUCCUCAGCCAAGGAA